AUUGAACGCUGGCGGCAGGCUUAACACAUGCAAGUCGAGCGGGCGAGGUUGCUUCGGUAACUGAGCUAGCGGCGGACGGGUGAGUAAUGCUUAGGAAUCUGCCUAUUAGUGGGGGACAACAUUCCGAAAGGAAUGCUAAUACCGCAUACGCCCUACGGGGGAAAGCAGGGGAUCUUCGGACCUUGCGCUAAUAGAUGACCCUAAGUCAGAUUAGCUAGUUGGUGGGGUAAAGGCCUACCAAGGCGACGAUCUGUAGCGGGUCUGAGAGGAUGAUCCGCCACACUGGGACUGAGACACGGCCCAGACUCCUACGGGAGGCAGCAGUGGGGAAUAUUGGACAAUGGGCGCAAGCCUGAUCCAGCCAUGCCGCGUGUGUGAAGAAGGCCUUUUGGUUGUAAAGCACUUUAAGCGAGGAGGAGGCUACUUGGAUUAAUACUCUAGGAUAGUGGACGUUACUCGCAGAAUAAGCACCGGCUAACUCUGUGCCAGCAGCCGCAGUAA
rnacentral:rRNA from 1 species